rnacentral:rRNA from 1 species
AGCAGUAGCCGCGGGAAUACGUAGGUGGCGAGCGUUGUCCGGAAUUAUUGGGCGUAAAGGGAGCGCAGGCGGACAUAUAAGUCCAUCUUAAAAGUGCGGGGCUCAGCCCCGUGAGGGGAUGGAAACUGUAUGCCUUGAGUGCAGGAGAGGAAAGCGGAAUUCCCAGUGUAGCGGUGAAAUGCGUAGAUAUUGGGAGGAACACCAGUGACGAAGGCGGCUUUCUGGACUGUAACUGACGCUGAGGCUCGAAAGCCAGGGGAGCGAACGGGAUUAGAUACCCCCGUAGUCCCUGUCUCUUAUACA